rnacentral:rRNA from 1 species
ACAGAGGUGGCGAACGUUGAUCGGAUUUACUGGGCGUAAAGGGCGCGUAGGCGGUUACAUGUGUCGGAUGUGAAAUCCCACGGCUCAACCGUGGAAUUGCAUUCGAAACUGUGUAACUAGAGUGUAGGAGAGGAUAGCGGAAUUCUUGGUGUAGCGGUGAAAUGCGUUGAUAUCAAGAAGAACACCGGUGGCGAAGGCGGCUAUCUGGAAUACUACUGACGCUGAGGCGCGAAAGCUAGGGGAGCGAACAGG